CCUACGGGAGGCAGCAGUGGGGGAUAUUGCACAAUGGGGGGAACCCUGAUGCAGCGACGCCGCGUGGGUGAAGGAGUGCUUCGGCAUGUAAAGCCCUAUCGGCAGGGAAGAAGCAAGACGGUACCUGACUAAGAAGCCUCGGCUAACUACGUGCCAGCAGCCGCGGUAAGACGUAGGGGGCGAGCGUUAUCCGGAUUCACUGGGUGUAAAGGGAGCGUAGACGGCCAUGCAAGCCAGGGGUGAAAGCCAGGGGCCCAACCCCGGGACUGCCCUUGGAACUGCAUGGCUGGAGUGCGGGAGGGGCAGGCGGAAUGCCUGGUGUAGCGGUGAAAUGCGUAGAUAUCAGGAGGAACACCGGCGGCGAAGGCGGCCUGCUGGACCGCGACUGACGUUGAGGCUCGAAAGCGUGGGGAGCGAACAGGAUUAGAUACCCUUGUAGUC
rnacentral:rRNA from 1 species